GACCUCAAAUCAGGUGGAAUUACCCGCUGAACUUAAGCAUAUCAAUAAGCGGAGGAAAAGAAACUAACAAGGAUUCCCCUAGUAACGGCGAGUGAAGAGGGAUCAGCCCAAAUUUGUAAUCUGGCUCUUUCAGGGUCUGAGUUGUAAUUUUGAGAACUGUUUUCUGCU
rnacentral:rRNA from 1 species